UGUAAAAGGUAUUGUGAAGGCUAGCAUAACAGAGAGUUCUUAUAUGGUAUCGCUAUUCGGCCCAGCAGACGUUUAAGGUUAAUGUCUACAAGUGAUGAUCCAUAUGAAAAUGAACAAAAUUCGCCCUGUUCCGAGUAAUGGAGGCACGAAAAACACCCAGUUUCACCAGCACGUUUUUCAAACUCUAAACUGAUGUAUGCAACGUUUCAGUUGUAAGUUACAACUUAAGCCUGGUGUUCAGACGAAAUAAAUCCGUCUGUUUUCAGCCUCUGCAAUGCCAUUAGGCUUGACCACGCCGGAAGCUGUCGAUGAGCCUCGUUCUGAGUCCUCGAACUCCGUAACGUAGUUACCGUUGCCGUUACCCACGUCCCUUCUGUUUACAACAGAAAAACGAUCGCAUUUGCUCCGCUGACCUCUACGUUUCGCUCACUGCUGUAUCUUUCCAAGUGUGCCUUCUUCCAAGAUGAACACAAGGCUUCACAUUCAGGCUCGGGAGGACAUAAUUCGCUAUUAUGGCACUCCUGCGGCUGUGAGUUUGUGGCCGUCUCAGGAUGAGGAGUCCGACUGUAUGUAGUUUUGAAAAGGGGCACUGAUCUGAAGUAAUUCCCUGGGACUGGUUGUUGCCUUUGUUAUUGUCUUUUACCCAAGAAAAGAAAUUUCUGCUCCAAAAUGUGAAGAAAAAGAACAACAUGACUCAACCUCAAAACAGUCGUUGAGUUUGAAGAAGUUUGAAAAGAAUAAGACAGAUUCAUAGGCAUGCUUGAAACUGGAGCGAUAGAACGUAACGUUGCAAACGUCUUCGGUGUCAAAGUGUGCAGCAGGGCAUGGACUCGGUACCAGACGUUUGGAUCAGCUACACAGUGAGAGCAAGCUGGUCGACAGUGUCCGAGCACACAGCGGGAAGACAGCGAUGAUCACUUCAAUUGAAUAGACGUGGAAUGGGCUCAUGUACAUUUUCGCUGAUGAAUCGAGAUACCGUCUAGACUUCACAGAUUAUGGUCCCCAACUGUGGCGUUGACAAGGAGAGAGAUUUCAGGAUUCCAACAUAGCCAAACAUGACCAGUGUGGAGGGGACUCAAUCAUGGUUUGGGGUGGGAUCAGUGGAGCUGGAAGAAACGAUCUCCAUGUCCUACAGCGGGACACGACAGGUGUGCGCAACAGGCACGACAUUCUGGAUGUGAACGUGAGAGGCCGUAUGCGGGUACAAUCGGACCGGACUUCAUCCUCAUUGACGAUAACGCACGACCCAAACAUGCCAGGGUCGUUGAUGCCAACAUAAAGCAGGAGACCAUGUUUGUCUGCAUGGGAGUGGCCAGCCCGGUGACCUAACCCCACCUUAUCGAACACGUGUUGAACGAUCUGAAGAUCUCCCUCUCACGCCGUCCUUCUCGGCAAUGCUCUCACAGAAGCGUGGAACAGUCUACCUCAGACAACCUUCCGCUUCUGGUUUGGUCAGAUACUCAUUUGGACUGGUGAUCGGAGUGAUUAUUUGGUCACCUGUUGCUUGUUGGCACUGAGCGGCACACAACAGACUUUUGUUCUCAAAACAUGUCUUUACGCAAUAAUGUCUUUGGCCAUUUCAACAGAUGCACACAAUUUGACUCUUGAGUAGUAGAUUUCACAACAACCGUCUUCAGAAACGUGUACGUAUGGAUCAUCAGAUAGUGUAUCUUUUACAAAUCACAAUUUAAAUGUGCAAAUAUCAAUUAUGAACUUUAUCGCGGAAUUGAAAUAUUUCAUACAGCCAAAAAUGUUAGAUUUCUUGAAAGUGUUACGACAUUAUUUAAUAUCCUUUUAUGUGAAAAAUUUAUGAAAAACCACAAGUCCCUGACCACCUGGACAUAUAUGGUUUUCUGGAACAGCUUAUUAAGGUUCUUAUUCAUGGUAAUAAAUAUGCAGAAAAUGCUGUUUUCUAUUGGCUGUUGUUGACUUCAUGCAAGUCAUUUCAUUGG